CCCUCCUUCUCUUUCCUCUCCUCCCCUUCCCAAACUCUCCGUAUACCCUCCUCCUCCUCUUUCCCCCCCUUCCUUCCCCUUCCCUGUCCCGUCUCUUCCCUCCCUCGCUAGGUCAGUACACGGCUGCCGGCUCGGAGGUCUGCAGGUGCUGAGUUGCUGUGGUGUCCCCUGUGUCUGUGGUCUCCUCAGCAGUGCAGCAAAUCCUGAGUGCCAGAGCCUUGCCGUGCUGACCCGACCCUCUCCUUCACACCCAAGUAACAGAAGCAUGGAGGAGACAUAGGAAAGAGGAAGAAUAAGACGCGCUAGUGAAGAAAGGAAGCAUGGAGAGACAGGACAGAGGAAGCCACAGAUACGAUAUGCACACACAUGGAAGGAAGCAGGAAGGAAACGCAGAAAGGAAGCCACAGAUAAGACUUUUAAUGCCAAGCCAAGGCAAGGCAAGACUGAAGAAGUGAAGAGAGAGGAGGAACCACAGCUUUGAGGAGGAACAAGACCUUAGUAAGCCUGACUACCAUGAAUGUAAGCAGACUUGAAAACCACUACCACUGCAACCAAGGCAAGGACUGAACUAGACACCCCAACACUGGAUACCACAACUACUUACAGGACUGAGAAGAUCAACGUAAUGAAGAGGAGGCUGAAGACCUACACACACACCAAGGUCUCUGCUCACACCUGAAAACAACCACCACCACUGCAACCAAGGCAAGGACUGAACUAGACACCCCAACACUGGAUACCACAACUACUUACAGGACUGAGAAGACCAACGUAAUGAAGAGGAGGCUGAAGACCUAUACACACACCAAGGUCUCUGCUCACUUGAGAGGUUAACCCGGUAGCAGCGAGGAUCGUGUUUCUUAAUGGUACCUCUAAGCGAGAAAAAAUCAUCACUCACACAAACCAUUUCAUAAUAUAUAUCAAAGCAUUUGUGAUCAUUUUAUGUAUUAUCUAUUUUGGGGUGGUUAAAUCAUGGCACAAAUUUGGCCUGUUGCUGCUACUGGGUUAAUGGCAUGGGGCUCCUCAAAUGGUCCACACAGAUAGGACUUAAUAUUCAUAGCUCAACGUAAAGGACUUUCUAAAAUUACACUUGAUAGUCCAUUAAACAGUUACAGAAGUCACUUGAGUCUAAUACAGUUUUGGUUCUGAGGGCUCAUUUGCAAUUUAAAUUUAAUGCUAAGAUAUUUUAACUCACAAAUGUAAGUCAUAUGAAGUUGUUUAGAUCUUUUGCAAUUUGAAUCAAUCUUAUAUAUUUGUGAGUAGUUCUCCUGUGACUUAAUAUGGAUUAGUUAUUUAAUUUCUUACUAUACGAAUCAGUUCUUUAAUUUUUUAAUAUACGAAUUAGUUCUUUAAUUUUUUUACUGUAGAUUAGUUCUUUAAUUUACUAUACAGAUUAGUUCUUUAAUUUUUUUACUAUAGAGAUUAGUUCUUUAUUUUAUACAGAUUAGUUCUUAAUUUUUUUACUAUACGGAAAGUCUUUAUAAUGUGUGAGCACUUUGAGGAGCCUUGCUAUGCUCUGGGUGUCUCUAGCUUGCUAUAGGAGACUUAACUUUCCUUUCUUGGGUUGUCGCUGUUUGGGAAGUGACGGUCAACCAGUCUCCCGCACCUCCUAGGACCGGCCUCUCCACACAACAAGUUUGUCUUAAGUUCCCUGUAGCUCAAGUCUUGUGGUACUUACAUUGUUUCUUCAGCAUUGGAUAGAAGAAUAGUAAUGGGUUAGGACUGUGUUGGAAAAGCCUUUAAAUUAACAAGAAACUAGUGAGAUAAUGCAAGUAAAAUUUAAAGACGGGGUUGUAAAAAUGCUUAUACUGUUUCCUAUUCAAUGCUCAUUUCUUCAUGGAAUUAAUUUUGCUACUGGAAAAAUAGAUAAUACAAUGUCACAAAAAAUUCUCCUGGAUAUAACAAUGGUAACAGAUUUUAGAUGACCUGGGAAGCAAACUACUGAAUACAAAAUUGUAGGAAACGAACAGUAACUUGACAACGUAGGGACACACACUAUAUGUAAGUUGUGGGGUUGCUGUUGUCUAAUGCCUACAGCUAUGUAUAAAAAUUAACUUGGCUUCCCGAGAUUUCUAAAAUGUGAUAAUGUACAGGAGAAUCUCGCAUCAUUAUUUAUCUGAACAGCAGCUUUGUAAUUCCAUGAUGAGAUAAGCACAAAACAAACUAGUAUAAACAUUAACCCAGUAGCAGCGGGGAUCACGUUUCUUAAUGGUCCCUCUAAGCGGAAAAAUGAGAAACUAUCAUCACUCAUACAAACCAUUUCAUAAUAUAUAUCAAAGCAUUUGUGAUCAGUUUAUGUAUCAUCUAUUUUUUGGGGUUUAUAUCAUGGCACAAAUUUGGCCCGUUGCUGCUACCGGGUUAAUGGCCCUGCCUUUGACUUUUACUAGCUUAACUUUUUAUUUUUAGUUAAUUUGAACUUUCUUUACAACAGUCCUAAUCCACUUUGAUACUAUACUUACUGUCCACUGAUGAAGAAACAAAAAAAACUAUUACACAUCACAGAGGAACUACAGAGAACUUGCAAUGUGGUGAGGCAAGAGAGGAGACUGGCUGAUCAAUCCUACUCUCAAAUCUGUGACAAACUUUAAAAAAACAGCUUAGUCUUCUAGUGUAAGCAAGAAACACAGAGAAUAGGUUAAUAUACGACCGCUUCCUUUCCAGUCUACAAAAUUUCUCAAUCCUCUCUGUGCUGGCUAUGAGGUGGAGGGGAGCAUGCACUGCCUCCCCUUGUGGUGUAGCAGUGAGGGGGAGGAAGGAGAGAACACCAUAAGGGAGGUGGGUACAUCACCGUUCCCUCCCUACAGUCAAUACAAGGGGGAGAGAAGAUGACAAAAUGUUAUUCCCAGACAGGUUACUUGAAGACACC